CCUGCAGAGAGCCAUGGCUGGGCGCUGAUGACAGGCUGCACCUAACAUGGACCCUGCCUACUGUUCUGGAUCCUCAGUCUAGAGGGAAAAGAUGCUAAACAAGUCAACAUGACAAAGGCGGUGUCAAAGCAAAGGGGAGGCGCACCACGGGAGCGCACCAGGAAAACCAGGUGAGUCUAAACUGAGACCAAAAUGCUAAUUAGGGGGCCGGCAGGAGGGCAGGAGGAGCGUUCCAGGCAAAACUAGCAGCUUUCGAGAAGGGUUGUUAAAGCAGGACAUGCUUUAACAACCAAAUCACAAAGUGAGCAUAGGCUCAGGGUGUGGCUGCGAUGAGGGAGAUGAAUGUAGGGGUCUGCAGCGGGGACUCCCCUCAAGUCCCCAGAGCCCCAGCCCAUCAUGUCCACAUCCUUCAGGACAUCAUCUCCUCCCAGCCAGCCGGGACCUCAGACUCAGAAAGCUGACAAUGCUGUGCGUCACCUCAGAGCUGACACAGCUCCUCCUCUGAAGAACUCGGUCUCCUCAACCUGUUAAAGGACAUCUAGAAAAGGCCACAGCUAAAGGGCUUUCACUCAAUGCUGAAACACAAAAUGCUUUCCCCAGAAGAUCAGGAACAAGACAAGGAUGUCUGUUCACACAGCUUCUGUUCAACAUUGUACUAAAGAGGCCAGCCAGGGCAAUGAGGCAAGGAAAUAAAGUAAAAGCCAUCCAUAUUGGAAAGGAAGAAGUACAAUUGUCUUCAUUUGCAGAUAACAUGAUCUUGUACGUUGAAAAUCCUAAGGAAUUCACUGAAAAUGAUUAAACUAAUAAAUGAGUUUAGCAAGUUUACAAGGAUAUGUGAUCAGUGUACAAAAAUCAGUUUAUUUCUAUACAGUAGUUAUGAGCAAAUAAAAAAUGAAGUUAAGAAAACAAUUCCAGUCUGGGUACAGUGGUUCAAGCCUGUAAUCUCAGCACUUUGGGAGGCCGAGGCAGGUGGACCACUUGAGGUCAGGAGUUCAAGACCAGCCUGGCCGAUAUGGUGAAACCUUGUCUCUACUAAAAAUACAAAAAAUUAGCUGGGUGUGGUCGUGGGCACCUGUAAUCCCAGCUACGCAGUAGACUGAGGCAGGGGAAUCACUUGAACCCGUUAGGCAGAGGUUGCAAUGAGCUGAGAUCACACCGCUGCACUCCAGCCUUGGUGACAGAGCAAAACUUUGUCUUAAAAAAAAACUCAUUUAUAUUAGCAUCAGAAAGAUACUUAUGAACAUAUUUAACAAAAGAAGUACAAAACUUAUGCUCUGAAAACUACAAAAUAUUGUUGAAAACUAAAGAAGAUCUAAAUGAGUGGAAAGACAUCCCAUGUUUAUAGAUUGAAAAACUUAACAUUAUUAAGAUAGCAAUACUCCCAGAUUCCAAAUUCAAUGCAAUCCCUAUCAAAAUUUCGACUUCAGCAAUGGACAAGUUGCUUUUAAAAUGCAUAUGAAAAUGCAAGAAAACACAAAUAGCUAAAGAAAUCUUGAAAAAGUUGGAUAAUUUAUGCUACCCAAUUUUAAAACCUGCUAUAAAAUGACAGUAAUCAAAACAGUGUGGUAUGGGCAUAAGGACAGAUCUAUACAUCAACAGAAUGGAACUGAGAGCCCAGAAAUUAACCCACAUAUCUAUGGCCAGUUGAUUUUGAGCAAGAGUGCCAACUUCUUUCAAUGGAAAAAGAAUAGUCCCCUCAGCAAAUGAUGUGGGGACACCUGAAUUUCCACAUGCAAAAGAAUGAAGUUGGAUCCAUAUUUCACACUGUAUAAAAAAACUAACUCAAAAUGGAUCAAUGACCUAUAAAGAAGAACUAAAAUCAUAAAAGUCACAGAAGAAAACAUAGUGAUAAAUCCUUAUGACCCUGGAUUUGGCACUGCAUUCUUAGAUUGACACCAAAAGCAUGAGCAACUAAAGAAAAAAACAGAUAAACCAGCCAUCAGAAUAAAAAACUUUGGGGCUUCAAAAGACACUAUCAAAACAGUGAAAAGACAACCCAAAGAAUGGGAAAAAAUUGUUUGCAAACUAUAAACAUAAUAAGUUGCUUGUAUCUAGAAUAUAUAAAGAACAAUUACAACUCAAGAAUAAAAAGACAAAUAGCCCAAUUCAAAAAUAAGCAAAGGAUCUGAAUAGAUAUUUCUUUAAAAAAGAUAUACAAAUGGCCAAUAAGCACAUAAAGAGGUCCUGAAUAUUAUUAGCCAUGGGAGAAAUACAAAUCAAAACCAUAAUGAGAUAUCACUUCAUGUCUGCUAGGGUAGCUUUAAUUAAAAAGUCAGAUGAGGCCGGGCACGGUGGCUCAUGC
rnacentral:lncRNA from 10 species